UAGGGAAUCUUCCGCAAUGGACGCAAGUCUGACGGAGCAACGCCGCGUGAGUGAAGAAGGAUUUCGGUUCGUAAAACUCUGUUGUUAGAGAAGAACAGCGCAUAGAGUAACUGUUAUGCGUGUGACGGUAUCUAACCAGAAAGCCACGGCUAACUACGUGCCAGCAGCCGCGGUAAUACGUAGGUGGCAAGCGUUGUCCGGAUUUAUUGGGCGUAAAGCGAGCGCAGGCGGUUAGAAAAGUCUGAAGUGAAAGGCAGUGGCUCAACCAUUGUAGGCUUUGGAAACUGUUUAACUUGAGUGCAGAAGGGGAGAGUGGAAUUCCAUAUGUAGCGGUGAAGUGCAUAGAUAUAUGGAGGAACACCGGUGGCGAAAGCGGCUCUCUGGUCUGUAACUGACGCUGAGGCUCGAAAGCGUGGGGAGCGAACAGG
rnacentral:rRNA from 1 species